CAUUUAGGCAAUACCUAAUAUAUUAUUGAUUUAUGCAGCAUGUGAUUUAUCAAACAACUGAAUAAAUCAUUUAUUCAUGAUUAUAUAUAUACACACACACACAUUUAGGCAAUACCUAAUAUAUUGUUGAUUUAUGCAACAUGUCAUUUAUCACACAACAGAAUAAAUCAUUUAUUCACAGAAGGCACAUAGUACAAUAUUUUUGCCUUGACAAACUUUGUCAAUUUGAUUUAUUCAUUAUAUGGUCAUACUUAUACUGUCAUUUAUUGUCAGGAAUUAUUGAGCAACUAGAUCCACUGAUCAACAUUGUUGCUGAUUAAAGAAGUCUACCAACUUAUAGACUGAUGAGCCACGUGCUCAUGGUGAUCUCUUGUCUGACCGGACACCCACUUGCUUAUCACCAACCAGGUGAUCCAAAGUACGUUCAGUACUCUAAAAUUAUUCGGCAGUCUGCCGCUAUUAUCACCAACUAGGUGAUCAAAAGUACAUCCAGUACUCCAAAAUUAUUCAGCAGCCUGCCGUUAUUAUCACCAACCAGGUGAUCAAAAGUACAACUCGUCCUCCAAAAAAUCAUACAUAAGCAUCACUCAUGACAAUCACCAUCAUACAUGAGCAUCACUCAUGUCAAUUAACAUAAACAUUCAUGAGCAUCACUCAUGUCAACAUCCAUGAGCAUCACUCAUGUCAAUCAGCUUCGAAAACUCCAUUUACAGAGCUCUAGCUUCGAAAGCUUCAUUUACAGAGCUCCAGCUUCGAAAGCUUCAUUUACAAGAGCUCCAGCUUCGAAAGCUUCAUUUACAAAGCUCCGACUUCAAAGCUUCAUUUACAAAAGCUCCAGCUUCAAAGCUUCACUUUCAAAGCCUCACCUAUAAAACUUCACUUUCAAAGCUUCACCUACAAAGCUUCAGUGCAUGGUA
rnacentral:lncRNA from 1 species